UGAAAACAUACACAAUGCAGCAGAUCAGUCAAUAAAAGUGAACCAAGGAGGCCUUUACAUGCAACCUGAAUCAAAUUUCUCCUUCAUCGCUAAUGACCGUUGACUCUUUGCUGUAUUGAAAUGACCAGAAGAAUCUGGCACCACACUCAAUGAAAAAUGAAAGAAUCUUAACACAGCAGAUGGGCUCCACUUCCUGAGGUGCUUCCAAAUGAUUAUGCUAAAUAGCAACGUCAGAUGGGAGAUUCCCACCCCUUGAUUGUUACAUCUUUGCUCCUAACAGUCUGCAAGAGAGGAAAAGGGAAUAAGAAGCUGGUGUGAUAUUGUGAAACCACUGCAAAGUUGCAAGAAAGAUGCAUCUCAAAUGGCCCACACAGCUUCCUCAAAGCUGAUAAACCAUGAACAAAGCAGAUCGCUCCUCAAGUGCAACAUUUCGUACAUGACCUGAAAACAGCUUCCUCUGCCACCACACAGGCAAGACAUUUGUUGAGCAGAU